CUCAUCUCCGGAUGUAGCUUCAGUAGGUUGACAGCAUCUUUGGCAAUGUCCAUGGUACCAGUGGCAGCAACCAUGUCUGCAAGUCUCCGCAGCAGGUGGACAGCAUCUUUGGCAAUGUCCAUGGUACCAGUGGCAGCAACCAUGUCUGCACCGAUGUUCAGGGGUCUCCUCAGCAGGUGGACAGCAUCUUUGGCAAUGUCCAUGGUACCAGCGGCAGCAACCAUGUCUGCAACGAUGUUCAGGGGUCUCCUCAGCAGGUGGACAGCAUCUUUGGCAAUGUCCAUGGUACCAGCGGCAGCAACCAUGUCUGCAACGAUCUGCGGUUACGGUAUCCUCAUCUCCGGAUGUGGCUUCAGGGGUCUCCUCGGCAGUUUGACAGCAUCUUUGGCAGCGUCCAUGGUACCAGUGGCAGCAACC
rnacentral:lncRNA from 1 species